rnacentral:rRNA from 1 species
GACGAACGCUGGCGGCGUGCUUAACACAUGCAAGUCGACGAGCGGCGAACGGGUGAGUAACGCGUGAGUAACCUGCCCCCUCUCUGGGAACACAGUUGGAAACGGCUGCUAAUACCUAAUAAAGGGGGAUGGGCUGGCGGCCUAUCAGCUUGUUGGUGGGGUGAUGGCCUACCAAGGCGGUGGCGGGUAGCCGGCCUGAGACGGUGACCGGCCAAAUUGGGCCUGGGCCACGGCCCAGACUGCUACGGGAGGGGGCAGUGGGGGAUAUUGGGCAAUGGGCGAAAGCAUGAUGGAGCGACGUCGCGUGGGGGAUGAAGGCUUUCGGGUUGUAAACCUCUUUCGCUAUCGAACGGGUAGGUGGAGAAGAAGCGCCGGCUAACUACGUGCCAGCAGCCGCGGUAAUUC